UACGAAGGGGGCUAGCGUUGUUCGGAAUUACUGGGCGUAAAGCGCGCGCAGGCGGUCCUUUAAGUCAGGGGUGAAAGCCCAGAGCUCAACUCUGGAACUGCCUUUGAAACUAGAGGACUUGGGUACGGGAGAGGUGAGUGGAAUUCCGAGUGUAGAGGUGAAAUUCGUAGAUAUUGGGAGGAACACCGGUGGCGAAGGCGGCUUCCUGGACCGGUUCUGACGCUGAUGCGCGAAAGCGUGGGGAGCAAACAGG
rnacentral:rRNA from 1 species